UUGCAGGGAUGGAUGUGAUGCUUUUUUUUUGUUGUUUUUGCUGAAGGAAUUGAUUUUGAUAAAUAGCUUCUUCCUAAGAGUGUCCUCUAAGGGCACUGCAAAAAUUCUGGACGAAAAGCUCUUUUGGAUAGUAUUUUGGACAUUAUACUGCACAGCUAAUGGACAACAUUUUUGGACAGCAUUUUCAACAUUAUUGCACAGUGCAGGAACAUCUUAGAUAGUAUUUUUGACUUGCCAAUUUUUUAGAUAGCAUAACUGAAAAUUUGGACAAGUGAUUGCAUAGCCAAACACUAAUUAUUGUUGUCAUUUUGGAAAACUUUUGUAACUAAUGAAGUUACUCAAACAUGAUAGAUUUUGUGUAUGUUUGAGUAGACUAAUUAUAUGCAGAUGUUGAAAGUUUUUAAUGCAAUAGUACAUUUUAUUCUUUUA